rnacentral:snoRNA from 1 species
GAGCAAUGGCGUCUUAAUUUGAUGACGAGAUCUUUGCAUUGAAGGUUGGCAAUAACAAUUAGCGAUUCUCCGUGCCUCUCAAAUUACUUUCAUUUUGAUUAUGGCCUCGAACAAGUCGCGAUAUU